CAUGGUUGUCGUCAGCUCGUGUCGUGAGAUGUUGGGUUAAGUCCCGCAACGAGCGCAACCCUUAUUGUUAGUUGCCAUCAUUUAGUUGGGCACUCUAGCGAGACUGCCGGUGACAAACCGGAGGAAGGUGGGGAUGACGUCAAAUCAUCAUGCCCCUUAUGACCUGGGCUACACACGUGCUACAAUGGGAAGUACAACGAGUCGCUAGACCGCGAGGUCAUGCAAAUCUCUUAAAGCUUCUCUCAGUUCGGAUUGCAGGCUGCAAUUCGCCUGCAUGAAGCCGGAAUCGCUAGUAAUCGCGGAUCAGCACGCCGCGGUGAAUACGUUCCCGGGCCUUGUACACACCGCCCGUCACACCACGAGAGUUUGUAACACCCGAAGUCGGUGAGGUAACCUUUUUGGGAGACCAGCCGCCUAAGGUGGAUAGAUGA
rnacentral:rRNA from 1 species